GCACGGUUGUCAGAGCGGCUAUGAGCGGGGUUGCAGACCCUGAAACGGGAGUUCAAAUCUCUCACCGUGCUCCA
rnacentral:tRNA from 1 species